CCUACGGGUGGCAGCAGUGAGGAAUAUUGGUCAAUGGGCUUACGCCUGAACCAGCUAAGUCGCGUGAGGGAAGACUGCCCUAUGGGUUGUAACCCUCUUUUGUCAGGGAGCAACGCCUGCUACGUGUAGCCGGACUGGGAGUACCUGAAGAAAAAGCAUCGGCUAACUCCGUGCCAGCAGCCGCGGUAAUUCGGAGGAUGCGAGCGUUAUCCGGAUUGAUUGGGUUAAAGGGGUGCGUAGGCGGAAUGCCAAGUCAGCGGUAAAAUCGCGGGGCUCAACUGCGCUACGCCGUUGAGACUGGCGUUCUUGAGUGGGCGAGAGGGAUGCGGAAUGCGAGGUGUAGCGGUGAAAUGCUUAGAUAUCACGAAGAACUCCGAUUGCGAAGGCAGCUCACUGGACUGCAACUGACACUGAGGCUCGAAAGUGUGGGUAUCAAACAGGAUUAGAUACCCGAGUAGUC
rnacentral:rRNA from 1 species